AUUGAACGCUGGCGGCAGGCCUAACACAUGCAAGUCGAGCGGAUGAAGGGAGCUUGCUCCUGGAUUCAGCGGCGGACGGGUGAGUAAUGCCUAGGAAUCUGCCUUGUAUUUGGGGAUAACGUCCGGAAACGGGCGCUAAUACCGCAUACGUCCUGAUGUAGAAAGGGGGGGAUCUUCGGACCUCGCGCUAUCAGAUGAGCCUAGGUCGGAUUAGCUAGUUGGUGGGGUAAGGGCCUACCAAGGCGACGAUCCGUAGCUGGUCUGAGAGGAUGAUCAGACACACUGGAACUGAGACACGGUCCAGACUCCUACGGGAGGCAGCAGUGGGGAAUAUUGGACAAUGGGCGAAAGCCUGAUCCAGCAACGCCGCGUGUGUGAAGAAGGUCUUCGGAUUGUAAAGCACUUUAAGUUGGGAGGAAGGGCAGUAAGUUAAUACCUUGCUGUUUUGACGUUACCAACAGAAUAAGCACCGGCUAACUUCGUG
rnacentral:rRNA from 1 species